rnacentral:rRNA from 1 species
GAUGAACGCUGGCGGCGUGCCUAAUACAUGCAAGUCGAGCGAACGGACGAGAAGCUUGCUUCUCUGAUGUUAGCGGCGGACGGGUGAGUAACACGUGGAUAACCUACCUAUAAGACUGGGAUAACUUCGGGAAACCGGAGCUAAUACCGGAUAAUAUUUUGAACCGCAUGGUUCAAUAGUGAAAGACGGUCUUGCUGUCACUUAUAGAUGGAUCCGCGCUGCAUUAGCUAGUUGGUAAGGUAACGGCUUACCAAGGCAACGAUGCAUAGCCGACCUGAGAGGGUGAUCGGCCACACUGGAACUGAGACACGGUCCAGACUCCUACGGGAGGCAGCAGUAGGGAAUCUUCCGCAAUGGGCGAAAGCCUGACGGAGCAACGCCACGUGAGUGAUGAAGGUCUUCGGAUCGUAAAACUCUGUUAUUAGGGAAGAACAAAUGUGUAAGUAACUGUGCACAUCUUGACGGUACCUAAUCAGAAAGCCACGGCUAACUACGUG